CAAUAGUAGUAGUAUUCAAAAUCUACUUGUAAACGCAUGCAUGGGGUGAAUGAGGAAUUAAAUUGAAAUAACAAAGGAAGGAGAAGUGAAAAGCUCAUUAGUGUCGGCCUUCUUCUCCAGCAACCUGGCACCUCGGUUCUCCACUAAACUCGAUCGCUCUUCUCCCUUCUCUGUCACGCUGCUGCUCAACAGGGGGGUAGUGGACCACUCUAUUCAUAUUUGCCCCUAAAUUUCAUAGCCGUCCAAUCUUUGCGUGUGUGGCAACAAAAGUGCCGGGUAGUAGUACUAGUACCUAUAAAUACUUAUGUACUUGAAGGCUUUUAGCAUCAAUCACAAAUCGAAACUUGAGUUUCUCAAUUAGUCUCUCUUACUUUUUCCUUUUAUAUUUCAACAAAUUAUUUUAUUCAGGUAGCUUAUCUCUUCAUUUUUUUUUAACAAAAACAAAUGAAGCCUAAUUGAUCAUUUUUCUAUUUGUAGGUUGAUUUAUAC
rnacentral:lncRNA from 1 species